GAACCGCAUGGUUCAAAAGUGAAAGACGGUCUUGCUGUCACUUAUAGAUGGAUCCGCGCUGCAUUAGCUAGUUGGUAAGGUAACGGCUUACCAAGGCAACGAUGCAUAGCCGACCUGAGAGGGUGAUCGGCCACACUGGAACUGAGACACGGUCCAGACUCCUACGGGAGGCAGCAGUAGGGAAUCUUCCGCAAUGGGCGAAAGCCUGACGGAGCAACGCCGCGUGAGUGAUGAAGGUCUUCGGAUCGUAAAACUCUGUUAUUAGGGAAGAACAUAUGUGUAAGUAACUGUGCACAUCUUGACGGUACCUAAUCAGAAAGCCACGGCUAACUACGUGCCAGCAGCCGCGGUAAUACGUAGGUGGCAAGCGUUAUCCGGAAUUAUUGGGCGUAAAGCGCGCGUAGGCGGUUUUUUAAGUCUGAUGUGAAAGCCCACGGCUCAACCGUGGAGGGUCAUUGGAAACUGGAAAACUUGAGUGCAGAAGAGGAAAGUGGAAUUCCAUGUGUAGCGGUGAAAUGCGCAGAGAUAUGGAGGAACACCAGUGGCGAAGGCGACUUUCUGGUCUGUAACUGACGCUGAUGUGCGAAAGCGUGGGGAUCAAACAGGAUUAGAUACCCUGGUAGUCCACGCCGUAAACGAUGAGUGCUAAGUGUUAGGGGGUUUCCGCCCCUUAGUGCUGCAGCUAACGCAUUAAGCACUCCGCCUGGGGAGUACGACCGCAAGGUUGAAACUCAAAGGAAUUGACGGGGACCCGCACAAGCGGUGGAGCAUGUGGUUUAAUUCGAAGCAACGCGAAGAACCUUACCAAAUCUUGACAUCCUUUGACAACUCUAGAGAUAGAGCCUUCCCCUUCGGGGGACAAAGUGACAGGUGGUGCAUGGUUGUCGUCAGCUCGUGUCGUGAGAUGUUGGGUUAAGUCCCGCAACGAGCGCAACCCUUAAGCUUAGUUGCCAUCAUUAAGUUGGGCACUCUAAGUUGACUGCCGGUGACAAACCGGAGGAAGGUGGGGAUGACGUCAAAUCAUCAUGCCCCUUAUGAUUUGGGCUACACACGUGCUACAAUGGACAAUACAAAGGGCAGCGAAACCGCGAGGUCAAGCAAAUCCCAUAAAGUUGUUCUCAGUUCGGAUUGUAGUCUGCAACUCGACUACAUGAAGCUGGAAUCGCUAGUAAUCGUAGAUCAGCAUGCUACGGUGAAUACGUUCCCGGGUCUUGUACACACCGCCCGUCACACCACGAGAGUUUGUAACACCCGAAGCCGGUGGAGUAACCUUUUAGGAGCUAGCCGUCGAAGGUGGGACAAAUGAUUGGGGUGAAGUCGUAACAAGGUAGCCGUAUCGGAAGGUGCGGCUG
rnacentral:rRNA from 1 species